AGAGUUUGAUCCUGGCUCAGAACGAACGCUGGCGGCAGGCUUAACACAUGCAAGUCGAACGCUCGUAGCAAUACGGGAGUGGCAGACGGGUGAGUAACGCGUGGGAACAUACCCUCCGGUUCGGAAUAGCUCAGGGAAACUUGGAUUAAUACCGGAUACGGCUGAAAGGCGAAAGAUUUAUCGCCGGAGGAUUGGCCCGCGUUCGAUUAGCUUGUUGGUGAGGUAACGGCUCACCAAGGCGAUGAUCGAUAGCUGGUCUGAGAGGAUGAUCAGCCACAUUGGGACUGAGACACGGCCCAAACUCCUACGGGAGGCAGCAGUGGGGAAUAUUGGACAAUGGGCGCAAGCCUGAUCCAGCCAUGCCGCGUGAGUGAUGACGGCCUUAGGGUUGUAAAGCUCUUUCGCUCGGGACGAUAAUGACGGUACCGAGAUAAGAAGCCCCGGCUAACUUCGUGCCAGCAGCCGCGGUAAUACGAAGGGGGCUAGCGUUGUUCGGAAUUACUGGGCGUAAAGCGCGUGUAGGCGGGUCUUUAAGUCAGGGGUGAAAUGCCAAGGCUCAACCUUGGAACUGCCUUUGAUACUGGAGAUCUUGAGUCCGGGAGAGGUGAGUGGAAUUGCGAGUGUAGAGGUGAAAUUCGUAGAUAUUCGCAAGAACACCAGUGGCGAAGGCGGCUCACUGGCCCGGAACUGACGCUGAGACGCGAAAGCGUGGGGAGCAAACAGGAUUAGAUACCCUAGUAGUCC
rnacentral:rRNA from 1 species